AGUGAACGCUGGCGGUAGGCCUAACACAUGCAAGUCGAACGGCAGCACAGAGGAGCUUGCUCCUUGGGUGGCGAGUGGCGGACGGGUGAGGAAUACACCGGAAUCUACUCUGUCGUGGGGGAUAACGUAGGGAAACUUACGCUAAUACCGCAUACGACCUACGGGUGAAAGCAGGGGACCGUCGGGCCUUGCGCGAUUGAAUGAGCCGAUGUCGGAUUAGCUAGUGGGCGGGGUAAAGGCCCACCAAGGCGACGAUCCGUAGCUGGUCUGAGAGGAUGAUCAGCCACACUGGAACUGAGACACGGUCCAGACUCCUACGGGAGGCAGCAGUGGGGAAUAUUGGACAAUGGGCGCAAGCCUGAUCCAGCCAUACCGCGUGGGUGAAGAAGGCCUUCGGGUUGUAAAGCCCUUUUGUUGGGAAAGAAAUCCAGCUGGCUAAUACCCGGUUGGGAUGACGGUACCCAAAGAAUAAGCACCGGCUAACUUCGUGCCAGCCGCCGUAACAC
rnacentral:rRNA from 1 species